rnacentral:rRNA from 1 species
GUGGGGAAUAUUGGACAAUGGGCGCAAGCCUGAUCCAGCCAUACCGCGUGGGUGAAGAAGGCCUUCGGGUUGUAAAGCCCUUUUGUUGGGAAAGAAAUCCUGUCGGUUAAUACCUGGCGGGGAUGACGGUACCCAAAGAAUAAGCACCGGCUAACUUCGUGCCAGCAGCCGCGGUAAUACGAAGGGUGCAAGCGUUACUCGGAAUUACUGGGCGUAAAGCGUGCGUAGGUGGUGGUUUAAGGCCGUUGUGAAAGCCCUGGGCUCAACCUGGGAAUUGCAGUGGAUACUGGAUCACUAGAGUGUGGUAGAGGGAUGCGGAAUUUCUGGUGUAGCAGUGAAAUGCGUAGAGAUCAGAAGGAACAUCCGUGGCGAAGGCGGCAUCCUGGGCCAACACUGACACUGAGGCACGAAAGCGUGGGGAGCAAACAGGAUUAGAUACCCCGGUAGUCC